GUUUUGAUUUAUGGCUCAGGAUGAACGCUGGCGGCGUGCCUAAUACAUGCAAGUCGAGCGAACGGACGAGAAGCUUGCUUCUCUGAUGUUAGCGGCGGACGGGUGAGUAACACGUGGAUAACCUACCUAUAAGACUGGGAUAACUUCGGGAAACCGGAGCUAAUACCGGAUAAUAUUUUGAACCGCAUGGUUCAAAAGUGAAAGACGGUCUUGCUGUCACUUAUAGAUGGAUCCGCGCUGCAUUAGCUAGUUGGUAAGGUAACGGCUUACCAAGGCAACGAUGCAUAGCCGACCUGAGAGGGUGAUCGGCCACACUGGAACUGAGACACGGUCCAGACUCCUACGGGAGGCAGCAGUAGGGAAUCUUCCGCAAUGGGCGAAAGCCUGACGGAGCAACGCCGCGUGAGUGAUGAAGGUCUUCGGAUCGUAAAACUCUGUUAUUAGGGAAGAACAUAUGUGUAAGUAACUGUGCACAUCUUGACGGUACCUAAUCAGAAAGCCACGGCUAACUACGUGCCAGCAGCCGCGGUAAUACGUAGGUGGCAAGCGUUAUCCGGAAUUAUUGGGCGUAAAGCGCGCGUAGGCGGUUUUUUAAGUCUGAUGUGAAAGCCCACGGCUCAACCGUGGAGGGUCAUUGGAAACUGGAAAACUUGAGUGCAGAAGAGGAAAGUGGAAUUCCAUGUGUAGCGGUGAAAUGCGCAGAGAUAUGGAGGAACACCAGUGGCGAAGGCGACUUUCUGGUCUGUAACUGACGCUGAUGUGCGAAAGCGUGGGGAUCAAACAGGAUUAGAUACCCUGGUAGUCCACGCCGUAAACGAUGAGUGCUAAGUGUUAGGGGGUUUCCGCCCCUUAGUGCUGCAGCUAACGCAUUAAGCACUCCGCCUGGGGAGUACGACCGCAAGGUUGAAACUCAAAGGAAUUGACGGGGACCCGCACAAGCGGUGGAGCAUGUGGUUUAAUUCGAAGCAACGCGAAGAACCUUACCAAAUCUUGACAUCCUUUGACAACUCUAGAGAUAGAGCUUUCCCCUUCGGGGGACAAAGUGACAGGUGGUGCAUGGUUGUCGUCAGCUCGUGUCGUGAGAUGUUGGGUUAAGUCCCGCAACGAGCGCAACCCUUAAGCUUAGUUGCCAUCAUUAAGUUGGGCACUCUAAGUUGACUGCCGGUGACAAACCGGAGGAAGGUGGGGAUGACGUCAAAUCAUCAUGCCCCUUAUGAUUUGGGCUACACACGUGCUACAAUGGACAAUACAAAGGGCAGCGAAACCGCGAGGUCAAGCAAAUCCCAUAAAGUUGUUCUCAGUUCGGAUUGUAGUCUGCAACUCGACUACAUGAAGCUGGAAUCGCUAGUAAUCGUAGAUCAGCAUGCUACGGUGAAUACGUUCCCGGGUCUUGUACACACCGCCCGUCACACCACGAGAGUUUGUAACACCCGAAGCCGGUGGAGUAACCUUUUAGGAGCUAGCCGUCGAAGGUGGGACAAAUGAUUGGGGUGAAGUCGUAAAAAGGUAGCCAUAA
rnacentral:rRNA from 1 species